rnacentral:rRNA from 1 species
UACGGAGGGGGCAAGCGUUGUUCGGAAUUACUGGGCGUAAAGCGUGCGUAGGUGGUUUGUUAAGUCUGAUGUGAAAGCCCUGGGCUCAACCUGGGAACGGCAUUGGAAACUGGCUUACUAGAGUGCGGUAGAGGGGUGUGGAAUUCCCGGUGUAGCAGUGAAAUGCGUAGAUAUCGGGAGGAACAUCUGUGGCGAAGGCGACACCCUGGACCAGCACUGACACUGAGGCACGAAAGCGUGGGGAGCAAACAGG